rnacentral:rRNA from 1 species
GCAAGUCGAGGGGCAGCAUUACUUUCGGGUAGAUGGCGACCGGCGCACGGGUGCGUAACGCGUAUGCAACCUACCUUAUACAAGGGGAUAGCCUGAAGAAAUUCGGAUUAAUACCCUAUGGUAUCAUAAGUCUGCAUGGAUUAAUGAUUAAAGAUUUAUUGGUAUAAGAUGGGCAUGCGUUAGAUUAGCUAGUUGGUAAGGUAAUGGCUUACCAAGGCGACGAUCUAUAGGGGGCCUGAGAGGGUGAUC